GACGAACGCUGGCGGCGUGCCUAAUACAUGCAAGUAGAACGCUGAAGGAGGAGCUUGCUUCUCUGGAUGAGUUGCGAACGGGUGAGUAACGCGUAGGUAACCUGCCUGGUAGCGGGGGAUAACUAUUGGAAACGAUAGCUAAUACCGCAUAAUAGUAGAUGUUCCAUGACAUUUGCUUAAAAGGUGCAAUUGCAUCACUACCAGAUGGACCUGCGUUGUAUUAGCUAGUUGGUGGGGUAACGGCUCACCAAGGCGACGAUACAUAGCCGACCUGAGAGGGUGAUCGGCCACACUGGGACUGAGACACGGCCCAGACUCCUACGGGAGGCAGCAGUAGGGAAUCUUCGGCAAUGGACGGAAGUCCGACCGAGCAACGCCGCGUGAGUGAAGGAGGUUUUCGGAUCGUAAAGCUCUGUUGUAAGAGAAGAACGAGUGUGAGAGUGGAAAGUUCACACUGUGACGGUAUCUUACCAGAAAGGGACGGCUAACUACGUG
rnacentral:rRNA from 1 species